UACGGGGGGAGCAAGCGUUGUUCGGAUUUACUGGGCGUAAAGGGCGCGUAGGCGGCGCGACAAGUCACUUGUGAAAUCUCCGGGCUUAACCCGGAGCGGCCAAGUGAUACUGUAGUGCUAGAGUGCGGAAGGGGCUACUGGAAUUCUCGGUGUAGCGGUGAAAUGCGUAGAUAUCGAGAGGAACACCUGCGGCGAAGGCGGGUAGCUGGGCCGACACUGACGCUGAGGCGCGAAAGCCAGGGGAGCGAACGGG
rnacentral:rRNA from 1 species